UAGGGAAUCUUCGGCAAUGGACGAAAGUCUGACCGAGCAACGCCGCGUGAGUGAAGAAGGUUUUCGGAGCGUAAAACUCUGUUGUUAGAGAAGAACAAGGACGUUAGUAACUGAACGUCCCCUGACGGUAUCUAACCAGAAAGCCACGGCUAACUACGUGCCAGCAGCCGCGGUAAUACGUAGGUGGCAAGCGUUGUCCGGAUUUAUUGGGCGUAAAGCGAGCGCAGGCGGUUUCUUAAGUCUGAUGUGAAAGCCCCCGGCUCAACCGGGGAGGGUCAUUGGAAACUGGGAGACUUGAGUGCAGAAGAGGAGAGUGGAAUUCCAGGUGUAGCGGUGAAAUUCGUAGAUAUAUGGAGGAACACCAGUGGCGAAGGCGGCUCUCUGGUCUGUAACUGACGCUGAGGCUCGAAAGCGUGGGGAGCAAACAGG
rnacentral:rRNA from 1 species